UAAGGAAUAUUGGACAAUGGUCGCAAGACUGAUCCAGCCAUGCCGCGUGCAGGAAGACGGCCCUAUGGGUUGUAAACUGCUUUUGUACCAGAGAAAACCUAUCUACGUGUAGAUAGCUGAUAGUAUGGUAAGAAUAAGCAUCGGCUAACUUCGUGCCAGCAGCCGCGGUGAGACGAAGGAUGCAAGCGUUAUCCGGAUUCAUUGGGUUUAAAGGGUGCGUAGGCGGGCUUGUAAGUCAGUGGUGAAAUCUCUCAGCUUAACUGAGAAACUGCCAUUGAUACUGCAGGCCUAGAGUAUAGAUGACGUUGGCGGAAUAUGACAUGUAGUGGUGAAAUACUUAGAUAUGUCAUAGAACACCGAUUGCGAAGGCAGCUAACGAAACUAUAACUGACGCUGAGGCACGAAAGUGCGGGGAUCAAACA
rnacentral:rRNA from 1 species